GGGGUGCGCACUUGGGCCCCCCUGGCCAUGGCGGCGAAGGUGGACCUGAGCACCUCCACCGACUGGAAGGAGGCGAAAUCCUUUCUGAAGGGCCUGAGUGACAAGCAGCGGGAGGAACAUUACUUCUGCAAGGACUUUGUCAGGCUGAAGAAGAUCCCGACAUGGAAGGAGAUGGCGAAAGGGGUGGCUGUGAAGGUGGAGGAGCCCAGGUAUAAAAAGGACAAGCAGCUCAAUGAGAAAAUCUCCCUGAUCCGCAGCGACAUCACCAAGCUGGAGGUGGACGCCAUCGUCAACGCUGCCAAUAGCUCCCUGCUCGGAGGCGGUGGCGGACUGAAAUGUUUACUCGGCGAUAAGGAGCCGGCUUUCUCGGGGAGAUUUGUGCGCUCUUUUUCAAUUACCCCUCGUCUUUCUCUGCCACUUUUGCACUAAAGGGAUAAUAAAUGUAUCGGAGCGUUUCAA
rnacentral:sRNA from 1 species